rnacentral:rRNA from 1 species
AGUGAACGCUGGCGGUAGGCCUAACACAUGCAAGUCGAACGGCAGCACAGUAAGAGCUUGCUCUUACGGGUGGCGAGUGGUGGACGGGUGACGAAUACAUCGGAAUCUACCUUUUCGUGGGUGAUAACGUAGGGUAACUUAUGCUAACACCGCAUACCACUUACGGGUGAAAGCACGGGAUCUUCGGACCUUUCGCGAUCGAAAGAGCCGAUGUCGGCUUCGCUAGGUGGCGGGGUAAAGGCCCACCCUGGCGACGAUCCGUAGCUGGUCCGAGGGAAUGAUCAUCCACACUGGAACUGAGACACGGUCCAGACUCCUACGAGAGGCAGCAGUGGGGAAUAUUAGACAAAGGGCGCAAGCCUGAUCCAGCCAUAGCGCGUGAGUGAAGAAGGCCUUCGGGUUGGAAAGCCCUUUUGUUCGGAAAGAAAAGCAGCUGGUUAAUACCGCGCUGUUCUGACGGUACCCAAAGAAUAAGCACCGGCUAACUUCGUG